rnacentral:rRNA from 1 species
AUAGCUCAAAUUUGAAAUCUGGCGUCUUCGACGUCCGAGUUGUAAUUUGUAGAGGAUGCUUCUGAGUAACCACCGACCUAAGUUCCUUGGAACAGGACGUCAUAGAGGGUGAGAAUCCCGUAUGCGGUCGGAAAGGUGCUCUACACGUAGCUCCUUCGACGAGUCGAGUUGUUUGGGAAUGCAGCUCUAAAUGGGAGGUAAAUUUCUUCUAAAGCUAAAUAUUGGCCAGAGACCGAUAGCGCACAAGUAGAGUGAUCGAAAGAUGAAAAGCACUUUGGAAAGAGAGUUAAAAAGCACGUGAAAUUGUUAAAAGGGAAGGGAUUGCAACCAGACUUGCUCGCGGUGUUCCGCCGGUCUUCUGACCGGUCUACUCGCCGCGUUGCAGGCCAGCAUCGUCUGGUGCCGCUGGAUAAGACUUGAGGAAUGUAGCUCCCUCGGGAGUGUUAUAGCCUCUUGUGAUGCAGCGAGCGCCGGGCGAGGUCCGCGC